GAUGAACGCUGGCGGCGUGCCUAAUACAUGCAAGUCGAGCGAACAGACGAGAGUGCUUGCACUCUCUGACGUUAGCGGCGGACGGGUGAGUAACACGUGGGUAACCUACCUAUAAGACUGGGAUAACUUCGGGAAACCGGAGCUAAUACCGGAUAAUAUUUAGCUUCGCAUGAAGCAAUAGUGAAAGACGGUUCUGCUGUCACUUAUAGAUGGACCCGCGGUGUAUUAGCUAGUUGGUGAGGUAACGGCUCACCAAGGCAACGAUACAUGGCCGACCUGAGAGGGUGAUCGGCCGCACUGGGACUGAGACACGGCCCAGACUCCUACGGGAGGCAGCAGUAGGGAAUCUUCCGCAAUGGACGAAAGUCUGACGGAGCAAUGCCGCGUGAGUGAAGAAGGUUUUCGGAUCGUAAAACUCUGUUGUAAGGGAAGAACAAGUACGUUAGUAACUGAACGUACCUUGACGGUACCUUACCAGAAAGCCACGGCUAACUACGUG
rnacentral:rRNA from 1 species